GAGCUAUGAUGAUUUACCAGCUCUGAUGGUGGGUCCAUCACUAUCUGAUCCUUUGGAUGAAAGCGCUACCGUUUCUGAGCUC